ACAUUUGUUUGGUUUUGAAAUAAUAGUCUCCUUUUUUUUUGUUUGGUUUUGAAAUAAUAGUGUUCAUGGAAUAAGUCUAAAUUUUACUGAAAAUGACUGGGUGACCUUCUUGGAAUUGAGUAUUCCAAAGCUACAGAAGUAAAUUUUUCUUUACUUUCUGCUAUAUAUAACUCAAUAUUAUUGAAUAGAGGAACUCAGCAAAAAAUUCUUGAUUUCUUCUCUACCAACUUAAUUUUUAUAAUUUUAGUGCAGAAAUGGGUUAUCAAAAACUUGCAUUGUUUCUGCUAUAUAUAGGCUUUCUCUGUCAACUUGUUUCCUCUUCAUCCUUACCUCAUUUAUGCCCCAAUGAUCAAGCCCUUGCUCUUCUUCAAUUCAAGCUCAUGUUUAUCAUAAAUCUUAAUGCUUCUUAUGGUUGUUUCGAAUAUACAAGCCGCCAAAUGAUUAAUUCAUAUCCGAAAACACUAUCAUGGAACAAGAGCACAGAUUGUUGCUCCUGGGAUGGAGUUUAUUGUGAGGAGACGACUGGACAAGUGAUUGAGCUUGACCUCAGUUGCAGCCAACUUCAAGGCAAGUUUGAUUCUAACAAUAGCCUCUUCCAACUCGCCAAUCUGAAAAAGCUUGAUUUGUCUUUUAAUAAUUUUUCUGGGUCGCUCAUUUCACCUAAAUUUGGUGAGUUUUCUAGUUUGACACAUCUUCAGUUGUCGGAUUCAGGUUUUUCUGGUCAAAUCCCUUCUGAAAUCUCUCAUCUUUCAAAAUUGCGGGUUCUUCGUCUCUAUUCUAAUUAUGAUCUUAGAUUAGGACCUCACAAUUUUGAACUGCUUCUUAAGAACUUGACCCAAUUAAGAGUGCUUGACCUUCAAAAUGUGAACAUCUCUUCCACCAUUCCUCUAAAUUUCUCUUCUUUUUUAACAAAUCUAUGGCUUCCAAACACACAGUUAUUUGGUAUAUUGCCCGAACGAGUUUUCCACCUUUCCAACUUGGAAUCUCUUCAUUUAUCAUACAAUCCCCAGCUCACUGUUAGGUUUCCCACAACCAAAUGGAAUAGCAGUGCAUCUCUCAUAUGUUUAAUUCUUAGCGGCGUGAAUUUUACCGGUAGGAUACCUGAAUCAUUUAGCUAUCUAACUUCACUAAAAAUGUUGGUCAUGAGGUCUUCAAAUCUCUCAGGGACCUUUCCUAAACCUAUAUGGAAUCUCACCAGCAUAGCAAUUCUAGAUCUGGGAAGUAAUAAUUUGGAGGGAUCAAUCCCCCAAUGCUUGGGUGAGAUGAGUGAGCUUUCGGUUUUGGAUUUAAGCAACAAUAGUCUAAGUGGGACAAUUAAUACAACUUUUAGAAUUGGAAACCAACUCAACAUCAUUAAAUUGGAGGCGAAUAAGUUACAGGGAAAAGUCCCACCAUCUUUGAUCAAUUGCAAAUCUUUGGAAGUUCUUGAUUUAGGGAACAAUGAGUUAAAUGACACAUUUCCAAAUUGGUUGGGAGCCCUACCUUAUUUGCAGAUUCUGAGGUUGAGAUCAAAUAAGUUGCAUGGCACCAUUCAAGCUUCAAGGAAUGAAAAAUUAUUUGCUCAACUUCGAAUCAUAGAUCUCUUUUCCAAUGGAUUUCAUGGGAAUUUACCCGUGAACCUUUUUGAGAAUUUUGAAGCUAUGAAAUUAAUUGAUGAGAAAAACGGAACCCCAAGAUAUGUAGGAGAUAGAAAUCGUUACUAUGAUUGUUCUUUGAUGAUUACAACAAAGGGAUCGUAUCGUGAAUUUGUUCGAGUUUUGACCUCAAACAUAGUUAUCGAUCUCUCAAAGAAUAGAUUUGAAGGUCAUAUUCCAAGCAUUAUUGGAGAUCUCAGUGGGCUUCGUACGUUGAACUUAUCUCAUAAUGGCUUGGAAGGUGUUAUACCAACAUCACUGCAACAUUUAUCUGUACUUGAAUCAUUGGAUCUCUCAUUCAACAAAAUUGGAGGAGAAAUUCCCCAACAGCUUGCGUCUCUCACAUCACUUGCAGUGUUAAAUCUCUCUCACAAUCAUCUUGUUGGAUGCAUCCCUAAAGGAAACCAAUUUGCUACAUUUGAGAACAGUUCAUACCAAGGAAAUGAUGGUUUACGUGGAUUUCCGCUCUCAAAAGAUUGUGGCGUUGAUGAUGGGGUACCACAAGCGACAACUUCAGUGGAUCAAGGAGAGGAAGGAGAUUCAGCAAUAAUCAGUUGGCAGGCGUUUCUCAUGGGUUAUGGAUGUGGUCUAAUUUUUGUACUCUCUGUAAUAUACAUAAUGCUGGCAACCCAAAGUCCAGCAUGGUUUUCGAGGAUGGUUGAAGAAUUGGAACACAAAAGUAUUGCUAGAAUGAAAAACACAAGAAAAGAUAUUAGUGUGUAACAUCUAGGUGAUAAUUUGCAGCGACAAUGACGAGAACAGAGGUGACUGAAGUUUCUGGAAUUUAAGCACAAACGGUGCCAGUGAAGUACAAAAGGAAUGAAGUGAUGGUCAAAUGCUUUAUGUGAGUGUUGCGAACUGACAGGGUGGAAAACUGUGGUUUUAUAUUGAUCGUCCGGGUGAGAAACCAAGUUGAGGGAGGAGUGAACAGUAUCGUUCUUCUCUAUUGGUGCUACAGAAUGAAAAGACAAGUAUUGUGACGAAUACGCAGAUCUAUAUAGGAUUUAUACUAAAGAAGAAUGGAGGAAAUUACUCUUCCUAUUAACACCAAGAAUUGUGGAUAUGAACUUGGAUACAUAUAGGAGGCAGGUUCAAUUUUAUGCCUAUCAUCCAGACUAGAAUUUAUCCUUUUACUUUAUGCUCCUAGAGAAUUUCAUUAUUGUGAAAGUCUGAUAAUAAAACGUAUUUAAAACCUGAGGCUGUGUAUGUUUACAAGGAAAAUUGUGACAGAGUUACCAUGGGCGGUGGUUUUAAUGGGUUGCAGCGUCAACGCAACCCAAUAGGUAGAGACUAAUUUAGAAUUUAAACCUAAUGGAAGAACCAAGUGAAGUUGCAUUUACUAUUACCAAGCUCCAUGCAGUGUGAAUAGAGUUUCCUUCAAUUCAUUUUUCCCAGCUAUAAUUGUUUUACCUAUCUUUCUCUCCCAAAAAAAAAAAAAGAAGGUUACCUAUCUGUUCUUGAUCUUUCGUGAAAUAGUCGUCUUCCAACUAUUGGUUGCAUCUCGCUGCCUGAAAUUUAAACUACAAUAGAGAAGGGGUUUGUCUGAAAAGUAAGAGCUUGAGUAAUAUCUUCGGGAAUUAGAGACUGAGUAAGACAAUUGGACAAGUCAUUUAGACGAGCAAUAUGUUGAACCGUAGAAAUAUUCCUCGUGGUUUUUAAAAUUCAAAGAAUGUGUUAGUCCAUUGAAACUCGCUAAACGUCAUUUUUCAUGUCAAACUGUAACUCCAUACAACAAUUAAAGAUUGUAUAUGCUCCGUAGUGUGAGUAUCUUCUAAGUACUAUUCAAGAUUUGCAACUAGCCGUUCUUCUUUGUUUUGUCAUUACUUUUUCUCGCCAUGAUUAAGAUGUUAAUUUGAAUUCACAUGUAUCAAAUGAUUAUGAUCAGAAAAUCAAAGGAUAUUGAUGAGGAAAAAGUUGUUAUUGCAGAAGAAGAUGAUAAACUCCGAUUGUCAAGAACUAUGGUUUGCUUAAUGUUGCUUCAACUUCUUGGCCUGAGGCUUGAUUUCUGACACCCAUGGAGGAAAGAAUAAUGAAUGUGAAUUAUGUCUUUGUAUUUUAGGAACUUUAAGAACAAGUGCAUAGACCUCUGGAUCCUUCUAAUCCCUUAGGAUAAAAAGAGUGAGUUUCUGUUCCGUCAUAUUUGCUUUUGAAGUGACGUGUUAAUGCGUUCAUUAAGCUGGUGAAUUACACUCACAUCAUGCCGACACGUUACACACUGGAUGUGGAUCUGAAGGAUUUGGUGGAUGUUGAUGUUCUUUGGGCACGUGAUAAGAAGUUUACUGCUGUAAGGAGACUAAGGGUAGGCUUGAGGAGAGGUUCAAGAAUGGCAAAAAUAGCUGGUUCUUCACUAAGCUUAGGUUCUAAGCGAAGGAUGGUUAUUGAAGUGCAAUAUUUGGCUCGUGAAGAAAUUGAAGUAAAAUAGUAUGUUAAGGUCGACUUUAACUUGGUUAUUGAAGUACACUUGGCUGUUGAAGAAAUUGAAGUAAAUUGAACCAGUAUGUUAAGGCCAACUUUAAUUGAAUGACAUUGUAACUGUGAAACAGUGCUAUUUCUUGAUUUGGGUUCAUCUGGCUGUAACACAUUACCAUCUUCCAUGUUUUCCUUCUAACUAAAUGAAGAUGCCCUUUGAGGAGGAUGACAGGGAUCCAAUUAUCUCCAAGUAUCUGGUUUCUUGACCAUAACUAUCAUGGUAUGCUAAUGGAAAAAUUUAGUGCUUAGUAAAACUAAUGUGUAUAUCAAGUACUGGCUGCACCAAGAUUUGGAGUUGGAUUUAAAGAUUAAAUUUGAGGUGAGUUUUGGGAUUUUAUUAUUUGGGUGUGUUCUUGUUUUUUUCUGUUUUUUAUCCAUGGAAGAAGAUGAAGCUAAAGCUUAAUGGUGAUGAUAGGCAGGUCGGGCGGGGCGGGUCAACAAAAAAAGUGGUAAUUUUUUUUGAAAUUGGGUAAUUUGAGAGGAUUUGGGAAUUUCCAUCCAAAUAGGGGCAUAAGUGUGAAGUUUGAAGGCAGCAGGGGUAUUUUUGUUAACGUUCACUAACAAAGGGUAUAUUUAACUAAUAAAACAAAGUAGAGGGGUAUAUUUGACCCUUUUCCCUUGAAAUAUAUUCUACCCUAAUAAGUUUACAACAAUAUCAAAUAUUUUAAUAUAAGAAUAUCACUUAUUAUAAAGGUACUAAUGUCAUCUAGAACUGCACUUCGUGCAGCCACUUCAAUAUUGUAGCACUGGAUGAUAUAUUUAUUUCCUCUAAACAAAAUAAGUUUUAAAUAUUUUGUUAAAAUAUUAUGGUUUAAUAUACUCUAAAAAUAGAAUUAAAAAUUAUAACCUAAAGAAAGAAAUCAGUUGUUGAAGUAACUUACUACAGUGAUUGAUAACUGAGUGUAGAUAUUAAGGUUGCCUAUAAUGGUAAAAAAUUAUUCAUAUCCAGUAUUUACACUAAAUUAUACUAAUUUACUGUGUUAAGUUAUAAAUUAAACGGAAAAUAGGUAACUAGUUAAUGAUUAGUGAUAACAAUGUAUAUAAAUAGGUGCCAACUAAUUUAUUAGUUUGGUGUAAACAUGGAUAAAUUCUGACCAUCUGCUGUUUGUAACUCUUUUAGUUAUGAGAUACGUUGGCUAGGAACAAAUUUCUAUUUCCAAUUUUAUUAAAAUAAUUAGAUUAAUAUGCUCAGACGAAUAAGAUAAUAAUUUUGACGACUAAUUUCUUUUGAAAUCAACAGCGCAUUGCGCGGGUAAAAAUACUAGUGUAUAUCUGCUAUCAUUAUCAAAAAAAAAAAAUACUAGUAUAUAUAGAAAAAUACUUUAUUAUCCCGACAGCAGUAGUUGGGAAGUUAAAAAUAACUAAAAAGGGUAUUGGGAAUAGUGUUAGGUCUUUCAAAAAUUUCACUUCACUUCCUCUUCGAUCAAACCACCAAAUUGAUGGUUAGAGCUUUGUUUCACUCUCUUCGGUAUAUUUGAUUCUAUUUGUUUUGGUUGAAUUCAUUUUUAUUAGUACGGUAAUGAUUUUGCUUCUUCAAAUCUUUA